rnacentral:rRNA from 1 species
UACAGAGGUCUCAAGCGUUGUUCGGAUUCAUUGGGCGUAAAGGGUGCGUAGGCGGCGCGGUAAGUCGGAUGUGAAAUCCCGGAGCUCAACUCGGAAUUGCCUCCGAUACUGCCGUGCUUGAGGACUGGAGAGGAGAUUGGAAUUCACAGUGGAGCAGUGAAAUGCGUAGAUAUUGUGAGGAACACUAGUGGCGAAGGCGAAUCUCUGGACAGUUCCUGACGGCUGAGGCACGAAGGCCAGGGGAGCAAACGGG